UACGGAGGAUGCGAGCGUUAUCCGGAUUUAUUGGGUUUAAAGGGUGCGUAGGCGGACUGUCAAGUCAGCGGUAAAAUUGAGAGGCUCAACCUCUUCCCGCCGUUGAAACUGGUGGUCUUGAGUGGAUGAGAAGUACGCGGAAUGCGUGGUGUAGCGGUGAAAUGCAUAGAUAUCACGCAGAACUCCGAUUGCGAAGGCAGCGUACCAGCAUCCAACUGACGCUGAGGCACGAAAGCGUGGGGAUCAAACAGG
rnacentral:rRNA from 1 species